UGGCUCAGGACGAACGCUGGCGGCGUGCUUAACACAUGCAAGUCGAACGAUGAACCACCUUCGGGUGGGGAUUAGUGGCGAACGGGUGAGUAACACGUGGGCAAUCUGCCCUGCACUCUGGGACAAGCCCUGGAAACGGGGUCUAAUACCGGAUACUGACCUGCCGAGGCAUCUCGGCGGGUCGAAAGCUCCGGCGGUGCAGGAUGAGCCCGCGGCCUAUCAGCUUGUUGGUGAGGUAAUGGCUCACCAAGGCGACGACGGGUAGCCGGCCUGAGAGGGCGACCGGCCACACUGGGACUGAGACACGGCCCAGACUCCUACGGGAGGCAGCAGUGGGGAAUAUUGCACAAUGGGCGCAAGCCUGAUGCAGCGACGCCGCGUGAGGGAUGACGGCCUUCGGGUUGUAAACCUCUUUCAGCAG
rnacentral:rRNA from 1 species